AUGGCGGGCGGGGGCGAGCUGGUGGUCAGCUUCGGGGAGAUGCUGGUGGACUUCGUGCCGACGGUGGCGGGGGUGUCGCUGGCGGAGGCGCCGGCCUUCCUCAAGGCCCCGGGGGGCGCGCCGGCCAACGUCUCCAUCGCGGUCGCGCGGCUCGGCGGCGAGGCCGCCUUCGUCGGCAAGCUCGGCGACGACGAGUUCGGCCGGAUGCUGGCCGCCAUCCUCCGCGACAACGGCGUCGACGACGGCGCCGUCGUCUUCGACGCGGGGGCGCGCACCGCGCUCGCCUUCGUCACGCUGCGCGCCGACGGGGAGCGCGAGUUCAUGUUCUACCGCAACCCCAGCGCCGACAUGCUCCUCACCGCCGACGAGCUCAACGUCGACGUCAUCAAGAGGGCUACAGUCUUCCAUUAUGGAUCAAUAAGCUUGAUUGCUGAGCCUUGCCGGUCGGCACAUCUGCGCGCCAUGGAGAUCGCCAAAGAGGCCGGCGCGCUUCUCUCAUAUGAUCCGAACCCAAGGGAGGCAUUGUGGUCAUCCCGUGAGGAGGCUCGCACCAAGAUCUUGAGUAUCUGGGACCAGGCAGACAUUGUCAAGGUCAGUGAGUCUGAGGUCGAGUUUUUGACUGGCAUCGACUCAGUAGAGGACGAUGUUGUCAUGAAGCUCUGGCGCCCUACCUUUAAGCUCCUCCUGGUCACUCUUGGAGGCAAAGGCUGCAAGUACUAUGCCAGGGAUUUCCGUGGAGUUGUCCCGUCAUACAAAAUACAACAAGUUGAUACAACAGGUGCUGGUGAUGCAUUUGUUGGUGCUCUGCUCCGGAAAAUUGUCCAAGAUCCAUCAUCAUUGCAAAAUCAGGAAAAGCUCGAGGAGGCGAUUAAAUUUGCCAAUGCAUGCGGAGCAAUCACCACCACAAAGAAAGGGGCAAUCCCUUCAUUGCCCACAGAAAUUGAGGUCUUGCAGCUGAUGGAGAAUGCAUAG
rnacentral:rRNA from 1 species